rnacentral:rRNA from 1 species
GCGGAACACGUGUGCAACCUGCCUUUAUCUGAGGGAUAGCCUUUCGAAAGGAAGAUUAAUACCUCAUAAUAUACUGAUUGGCAUCAAUUAGUAUUGAAAGCUCCGGCGGAUAGAGAUGGGCACGCGCAAGAUUAGAUAGUUGGUGAGGUAACGGCUCACCAAGUCAAUGAUCUUUAGGGGGCCUGAGAGGGUGAUCCCCCACACUGGUACUGAGACACGGACCAGACUCCUACGGGAGGCAGCAGUGAGGAAUAUUGGACAAUGGGUGCAAGCCUGAUCCAGCCAUCCCGCGUGAAGGACGACGGCCCUAUGGGUUGUAAACUUCUUUUGUACAGGGAUAAACCUACUCUCGUGAGGGUAGCUGAAGGUACUGUACGAAUAAGCACCGGCUAACUCCGUGCCAGCAGCCGCGGUAAUACGGAGGGUGCAGGCGUUAUCCGGAUUUAUUGGGUUUAAAGGGGCCGCAGGCGGGCUAAUAAGUCAGUGGUGAAAGCCUACAGCUUAACUGUAGAACUGCCGUUGAUACUGCUAGUCUUGAGUAUAGUUAAGGUAGCUGAAAUGAGUAGUGUACCGGUAAAAUGCAUAGAUAUUACUCAGAACCCGAUUGCGAAGGCAGGUUACCAAGUUAUAACUGACGCUGAGGGACGAAAGCGUGGGGAGCGAACAGGAUUAGAUACCCUGGUAGUCCACGCCGUAAACGAUGCUAACUCGUUUUUGGGCUAUAUGGUUCAGAGACUAAGCGAAAGUGAUAAGUUAGCCACCUGGGGAGUACGACCGCAAGGUUGAAACUCAAAGGAAUUGACGGGGGCCCGCACAAGCGGUGGAUCAUGUGGUUUAAUUCGAUGAUACGCGAGGAACCUUACCAAGGCUUAAAUGGGAAUUGAUAGCUGUAGAAAUACGGUUUUCUUCGGACAAUUUUCAAGGUGCUGCAUGGUUGUCGUCAGCUCGUGCCGUGAGGUGUUAGGUUAAGUCCUGCAACGAGCGCAACCCCUGUCACUAGUUGCCAUCAUUAAGUUGGGGACUCUAGUGAGACUGCCUACGCAAGUAGAGAGGAAGGUGGGGAUGACGUCAAAUCAUCACGGCCCUUACGCCUUGGGCCACACACGUGAUACAAUGGCCGGUACAGAGGGCAGCUACACUGCGAAGUGAUGCAAAUCUCGAAAGCCGGUCUCAGUUCGGAUUGGAGUCUGCAACUCGACUCUAUGAAGCUGGAAUCGCUAGUAAUCGCGCAUCAGCCAUGGCGCGGUGAAUAC